rnacentral:lncRNA from 1 species
GCAACUAUGGCAAAUAUCAGCUGCACACACGAAAAGAACUCAAGAGUAGGAGAUACUCAAAAUGCGUCAGUACUGUUCAUAUCAUUCACUCUCUAGUUUUACAGAAUCGGGGUACGGGCUUUUAUAGCCCUGAAACCCACUUGUAUAAUUACCAAACUACUCAUGGGUAGUUACUAAUAGAGCAAUUGAGGAAGGAAGGGAGGGGUAGGGGAAUACUAAAUUUCUUAAGAUGGUUUGUAGGUUUCUCAUAGCAAAUAGAGAUACCGAGGCCCUCUCCACAACCUAGUAGUUGAUUUGAUGGGUAUGGGGAGGGGAAAGAAGAGAGGGUCAGAGGGCUUCUUUCACUUGAUUUUGGUUUGAUUGCUGCAAUGCAAGACAAACAAUUGCUUGGGACCUUUCUUCCCUUCUUUGUAUUUCCUUAUUCAGUCUUACAUAGAGAAGGAAAGGGGUAGUGAGUAGUCUAUAAGGGUAUUGGUGUAAAAUCUCUAACUUUAGGGGACCACAAUGCUAACUCUCUUUAGUACUCAAGUACACUUGAGUGCUGGUCCCUAGGCAUCUUGGCAAG